rnacentral:rRNA from 1 species
UGAGGAAUAUUGGUCAAUGGGCGCUAGCCUGUAACCAGCCAAGUAGCGUGAAGGAUGACUGCCCUAUGGGUUGUAAACUUCUUUUAUAUGGGAAUAAAGUGCAGUAUGUAUACUGCUUUGCACUGUACCUUAUGAAUAAGGAUCGGCUAACUCCGUGCC